UACGGAGGAUGCGAGCGUUAUCCGGAUUUAUUGGGUUUAAAGGGUGCGUAGGUGGUUUCUUAAGUCAGUGGUGAAAGUUUGUCGCUCAACGAUAAAAUUGCCAUUGAAACUGGGGAACUUGAGUAUGUUUGAGGUAGGCGGAAUGCGUAGUGUAGCGGUGAAAUGCAUAGAUAUUACGCAGAACUCCAAUUGCGAAGGCAGCUUACUAAACCAUAACUGACACUGAUGCACGAAAGCGUGGGUAUCAAAC
rnacentral:rRNA from 1 species